rnacentral:rRNA from 1 species
GAUGAACGCUGACAGAAUGCUUAACACAUGCAAGUCUACUUGAUUCUACUUCGGUAGUUGAUGGUGGCGGACGGGUGAGUAACGCGUAAAGAAUCUGCCCUUUAGUUUGGGAUAACCUUUGGAAACGAAGGCUAAUACCGACUAUUAUGGAGAUGUCGCAUGACGACUUCAUGAAAGCUAUAUGCGCUAGAGGAGGACUUUGCGUCCCACUAGUUAGUUGGUGAGGUAAUGGCUCACCAAGACCGCGAUGGGUAGCCGGCCUGAGAGGGUGAUCGGCCACAAGGGAACUGAGACACGGUCCUUACUCCCACGGGAGGCAGUAGUGGGGAAUAUUGGACAAUGGACCACAAGUCUGAUCCAGCAAUUCUGUGUGCACGAUGAAGGUCUUCGGAUUGUAAAGUGCUUUCAGUAGGGAAGAAGCGAAAGUGACGGUACCUGCAGAAGAAGCGCCGGCUAACUACGUGCCAGCAGCCGCAGUAAUAC